rnacentral:rRNA from 1 species
UACGGGGGGAGCAAGCGUUGUUCGGAUUUACUGGGCGUAAAGGGCGCGUAGGCGGCCAGCACAAGUCAGUUGUGAAAUCUCCGAGCUUAACUCGGAAAGGUCAACUGAUACUGUGCGGCUAGAGUGCGGAAGGGGCAACUGGAAUUCUCGGUGUAGCGGUGAAAUGCGUAGAUAUCGAGAGGAACACCUGCGGCGAAGGCGGGUAGCUGGGCCGACACUGACGCUGAGGCGCGAAAGCCAGGGGAGCGAACGGG